rnacentral:rRNA from 1 species
GACGUAGGGCGCGAGCGUUGUUCGGAAUUACUGGGCGUAAAGGGCUCGUAGGCGGCCAACUAAGUCGGACGUGAAAUCCCUCGGCUUAACCGGGGAACUGCGUCUGAUACUGGAUGGCUUGAAUCCGGGAGAGGGAUGCGGAAUUCCAGGUGUAGCGGUGAAAUGCGUAGAUAUCUGGAGGAACACCGGUGGCGAAGGCGGCAUCCUGGACCGACACUGACGCUGAGGCGCGAAAGCUAGGGGAGCGAACGGG